GAUGAAGAACGUAGCGAAAUGCGAUACUUGGUGUGAAUUGCAGAAUCCCGUGAACCAUCGAGUCUUUGAACGCAAGUUGCGCCCGAAGCCAUCAGGUUGAGGGCACGUCUGCCUGGGCGUCACAUAUCGUUGCCCAAUGCCUAUUGCAGGGCAAUAGGAAUUUCUAGGGCGAAUGAUGGCUUCCCGUGAGCGUUGUUGCCUCGCGGUUGGUUGAAAAUCGAGUCCUUGGUAGGGUGUGCCAUGGUAGAUGGUGGUCGAGUUAGAACGAUACCGAUCAUGUGCAUGCUCCCCAAAAUAUGGCCUCUAUGACCCACACGCGUCUUUUGACGCUCAUGACGAGACCUCAGGUCAGGCGGGGCUACCCGCUGAAUUUAAGCAUAUCAAUAAGCGGAGGA
rnacentral:misc_RNA from 1 species